UUGGAGGGCAAGUCUGGUGCCAGCAGCCGCGGUAAUUCCAGCUCCAAUAGCGUAUAUUAAAGUUGUUGCAGUUAAAAAGCUCGUAGUUGAAUUUCGGGACCAUCAUGUCGGUCGUGCCUCGGUACGUACUGGCAUUGUUGGUUUCUCCCUUCUGACGAACCAUGAUGUCAUUUAUUUGGUGUUGUGGGAAAUCAGGACUGUUACUUUGAAAAAAUUAGAGUGUUUAAAGCAGGCUCACGCUUGAAUACAUUAGCAUGGAAUAAUGAAAUAGGACGUUUGAUUCUAUUUUGUUGGUUUCUAGGAUCGACGUAAUGAUUAAUAGGGAUAGUUGGGGGCAUUAGUAUUCAAUUGUCAGAGGUGAAAUUCUUGGAUUUAUUGAAGACUAACUACUGCGAAAGCAUUUGCCAAGGAUGUUUUCAUUAAUCAAGAGCGAAAGUUAGGGGAUCGAAGACGAUCAGAUACCGUCGUAGUCUUAACCAUAAACUAUGCCGACCAGGGAUCGGAUGAUGUUAAUUUUUUAAUGACUCAUUCGGCGCCUUACGGGAAAC
rnacentral:rRNA from 1 species